rfam:Tilletiaria anomala TBC 951 K437scaffold_151, whole genome shotgun sequence.
UCCUCGAUAGUCUAGUGGUUAUGAUAUGUCGCUCUCAAGUUAUCACGAUCAGUGAUUACCAGAAGCGUCCGACAAGGUCCGGGUUCGAUUCCCGGUCGGGGAA